AUACUUACCUGGCAAGAGAGACACCGUGAUCAAGAAGGCGGUUCACCCAGUGCGAGGCUCAGCCAUUGCACUCCGGCUGUGCUGACCCCUGCGAAUUUCCCAAAUUGCAUAAUUUCUGGUAGUGGGGGACUGCGUUCGCGCUCUCCCCUG
rnacentral:snRNA from 8 species